AUAUCCUUUUUCAUCUCGUUCCAUCAGAAUCAGGGUCGUAUGCUUUUGUACAUCUUGGUGUUUUUCGAGUACAUAAUGAACUUAAAACUGUGAGUCUUUGUCAUGAUAUCUCUCUUUAACUCACUAUCAUUAGAAACACACAACCUAUCCUGAAAUUUGAGCAACCUAUUUGUAGAAACUCAGAACUCUAAAUUCAAACCCUGUUAUGUAUCCUUUCUGUUA
rnacentral:lncRNA from 1 species